GAUAACCGAACAUACCCGAUGUUCUCGUGCAGGACCCGAGAAUGGGCAUGAGUCUGGUGGCGGCGGACCCUUCGACGUCUCCCGGUUGAAAAAGAAUGCCAACGGUCAAGACUCAAGACUCGCCUCGUGAGUUCAGCCCGGGAGUGCGCGAUUUCCAUUCCUUUGACACCAAACUAUUGCCCGGCCUGCUCGGUGCUCAAGUUUGAAGAAAAUUGUUGGUAACGUGUCUGAUGCUGUGUUUGUAACACGAAGUCGAAAGCGAAGUUCGCCAGUUACCAUUCUGUACUCAAAGAUGUCAGAUAUAAGGAAGUGGUUCAUGAAAUCCCAUGUCAAGGGCAAUGGUGGGGAAUCGAAGCCUGCAAAUCCUGCCCCAAGCAAUUCGGAGACCCUGGUACAUGGAGGCCAAGAAAGUUCAGGCAGGAGGAGAACUAGCAAGUAUUUUGCAACUGACAAACAAAAGCCAGAAGACGAAGAGGAAACAAAGGAACUUCCAGCAAAAAGAAAGACUCAAAAGGAUAGCAUUGAAUCAUUGAAACCCACGCCCUCUAAAAAAGCUCAUAAAGUUGAUAACGACAACGACGACGACUUUAUCUUGCCUAGUUCAAGGAAGAAUUUGGUUGAUGCGACUCCUAGCAAGAAGCUGAAGAGUGGGUUGGGUAGGGGAAUUUCUCAGAAAGGUGUGGAUGUUGAAGAAAGUGAUGAGGAAGAUGAUAAAGAUACUGAAACUCAAAAGUCUGGUGGAAGGGGUCGUGGUAGAAGAGGUUCGUCAGCAGCACCGGCUGGUGGAAGAGGCAGAGGUGGUGGACGGGGUGGAUUUAUGAACUUUGGAGAAAGGAAAGAUCCUCCUCAUAAAGGAGAAAAGGAAGUCCCUGAGGGUGCUCCCAAUUGCUUAGCUGGUUUAACUUUUGUAAUUAGUGGAACACUUGACAGUCUGGAGCGUGAAGAAGCAGAAGAUUUGAUUAAAAGACAUGGUGGUCGUGUCACUGGUUCCGUCAGCAAGAAAACAAAUUAUCUUUUAUGUGAUGAAGAUAUUGGGGGACGGAAGUCUGCUAAAGCCAAAGAGCUGGGUACUGCAAUGCUCAUUGAGGAUGGGUUGUUUGAUAUGAUCCGUGCAUCAAAACCUGCUAAAGCACCUGCACAAGAAGAACCAAAGAGACCAGUAUAUAAGGCCGCACCUGUACCAAGGAAAAGUCCACAGAAAACAGAAGCAAACAAAGAUAGCGUCAGCAAUUCCGUGGAAAUGAAAGCCAGCAGAGGAUUGACCCCAGGGGCAUCUCCGGCUAAGCGAAAAAAUCAAAGUGUUGAGAAAAAUACUUUGACAUGGGCGGAAAAGUAUAGGCCGAAGAUCCCAAAUGAGAUUGUUGGAAACCAGUCACUGGUUAAGCAACUUCAUGACUGGUUGGAACAUUGGAAGGAGCAAUUUCUUGAUACUGGAACUAAUAAAAAGGGCAAAAAGCAAAAUGAUUCUGGCACCAAAAAAGCUGUCCUCUUGAGUGGAACACCUGGCAUUGGAAAAACAACUUCAGCAAAGUUGGUCAGUCAGAUGCUCAGUUUCCAGGCAAUAGAGGUAAAUGCUAGUGACAGUCGUGGGAAGGCUGAUGCCAAAAUUGAAAAAGGAAUUGGUGGAAGCAAUGCAAAUUCUAUAAAGGAACUUGUCAGCAAUGAGGCCCUGAGUGUUAACAUGGAUCGUUCAAAGCAUCCAAAAACUGUACUGAUUAUGGAUGAGGUUGAUGGGAUGUCUGCUGGAGAUAGGGGUGGGAUUGCUGACCUUAUUGCUAGCAUCAAAAUUUCCAAAAUUCCGAUUAUCUGCAUUUGCAAUGACCGCUACAGUCAGAAACUGAAAAGUCUUGUUAACUAUUGUUUGCUUCUUAGCUUUCGGAAACCUACAAAACAACAGAUGGCAAAGAGGUUAAUGCAAAUUGCAAAUGCAGAAGGCCUUCAAGUUAAUGAAGUUGCUGUUGAGGAACUUGCAGAAAGAGUUAAUGGAGAUAUGCGAAUGGCACUAAACCAGUUGCAGUACAUGAGCCUCUCCAUGUCGGUCAUUAAAUAUGAUGACAUUAGGCAGCGUCUUCUUAGUAGUGCAAAGGAUGAAGAUAUUUCACCAUUCACCGCCGUUGACAAGCUGUUUGGUUUUAAUGCGGGGAAAUUGAGGAUGGAUGAGCAGAUGGACCUGAGCAUGAGUGAUCCUGAUCUAGUCCCUCUUCUUAUUCAGGAAAAUUAUAUCAAUUAUAGGCCAAGUUCGGUUGGUAAGGAUGGCAAUGAAAUCAAACGAAUGAACUUGAUUGCCCGUGCUGCUGAGUCUAUUGGUGAUGGGGAUAUAAUCAAUGUACAGAUUCGACGAUAUCGACAAUGGCAGCUGUCUCAAAGUGGUUCCCUUGCAUCAUCUAUAAUUCCUGCCGCAUUGUUGCAUGGACCGAGGGAAACACUGGAAUUGGGCGAGAGGAAUUUCAACAGAUUUGGGGGGUGGCUGGGAAAGAAUUCAACAAUGGGCAAAAACCGGAGGCUUUUAGAGGAUUUGCACAUUCAUCUUCUUGCUUCUCGUGAAUCUAGUUCGGGGAGGGAAAACCUACGAGUAGAAUACUUUACUCUUCUUCUUAAACAGUUGACUGAGCCACUGCGAGUGCUCCAUAAGGAUGAAGCCGUUCAAAAGGUUGUUGAGUUUAUGAAUAUUUACUCAAUAACCCAGGAGGAUUUCGAUACUAUUGUGGAGCUAUCAAAAUUUCGGGGACAUCCAAAUCCACUGGAUGGUAUACAGCCUGCUGUGAAAGCUGCUCUCACCAAGGCUUACAAAGAAGGAAGCAAGUCAAGAAUGGUACGAGCUGCUGAUUUAGUUAUGCUUCCUGGAAUGAGAAAGGCUCCUAAAAAGCGAAUCGCAGCAAUGCUAGAGCCAUCUGAUGAUGGGUUUUCUGAUGCCAAUGUUGACACAUUGGCAGAAAAUGAAGAAGAAAACUCUUCGGAUACAGAGGAUUUAGACAGUACUGCCAAUGGUGAGAAGUUGCAGUUGGAACUUCAAAGUUUGAAUUCCAAAGGAGUGCAAGUAGAAUUGGAUCUGAAGGGCACAGGAAACUCAGGUGCUAAGAAAACACCAGUUGGCAGAAGAAAAGGUGGUUCCGGACCUACAGAGAAGAAAGGUGGGCGAGGUGCAGCAGGAGCUGGUGCCAAGAGAAAGAGAUGAGAAAAUAAAGAAAUUUGAGGCUUGGAUAAGUUUUAGCAUUGUUCAUAAUCGAUGUAGGUGCAUGGAGGAGGUGAAAGAUGCAGUGUCACGGUCCUACCUGAAGGAAAUCAAGUCUGCAGCUCCAGACACCCUCCCCCAAAACCCCCUCACCCCCAAUUCUUUUCCCAACCUGAGCCCUGAGAUAGAGAAUCGUUCAUCGGCUUCUUUGCCGCUAGUUGCCCUGCGCUGCAGUCCUGCCAACAACUCUCUACUGCCAGCUACCCAGGUGAGGAUGAUGAGUACGAGCAAGCGGACCAGACUUAAAUGGAGCAGUUGACUUAGUUGCAAACUUCU